CCUACGGGAGGCAGCAGUAGGGAAUCUUGCACAAUGGACGAAAGUCUGAUGGAGCAACGCCGCGUGAGUGAAGAAGGGUUUCGGCUUGUAAAGCUCUGUUGGUAGUGAAGAAAGAUGGAGGUAGUUACUGGCCUUUAUUUGACGGUAAUUACGUAGACAGUCACGGCUAACUACGUGCAAGCAGCAGCGGUAAUACGUAGGUGGCAAGCGUUGUCCGGAUUUAUUGGUCGUAAAGCGAGUGCAGGCGGUUGUAUAAGUCUGAUGUGAAAGCCCUCGGCUCAACCGGAGAAUUGCAUUCGAAACUGUUGAACUUGAGUGCAGAAGAGGAGAGUGGAACUCCAUGUGUAGCGGUGAAAUGCGUAGAUAUAUGGAAGAACACCAGUUGCGAAGGCGGCUCUCUGGUCUGCAACUGACGCUGAGGCUCGAAAGCGUGGGUAGCGAACAGGAUUAGAUACCCUUGUAGUC
rnacentral:rRNA from 1 species